rnacentral:lncRNA from 1 species
AGAUGCUGAGGACUUGGAUGAGGACGGGCACCAAAUCUGCAUUGUCCAUUGCUAUUUCCCAGGUUGAGUUGCUGAAGCGGCUUCAUUGUCUGGGGACAUACCCAAGGUUCGUCAUCGCGUGACGAGAAGAUUAAGGACACAGACGCAAACACGGAGCGGGUCAAGUAGCGGAAAGUUUAAUAGGCAGGAAAGAAGAGAACAGCUCACCGGUAGAGAGCCGUCAAUGGUGUGCCAGAUAAGAAGCUAUGCACUGAAAAGAUGGAGAGGAGCGGCGAGAUUCUGCAUCUUAGCUUGCCUAGGUGGGGAGCAGGAAAAAGGAGGAAGACUGAAGCACAAAGCUUCUCUCGUCUGUGUCACCCUCUGCAAGGAGUUUGCAGUUGGACUGGAAAACCCACAUUUCCCACUGAGUGCUUUACCACUCUCAGUGGAACUUAGGUUCUGAUACUGAGAACAAAGGAGAGAAUGGACAAUGAAGGGAUCACUAGCAGUUUUCAUUACAAAUAGUAUCUUGAAAAAACCUUAACAAUAAGGUGAGGUGUGGUGGCUCAUGCCUGUAAUAUCAGCACUUUGGGAGACCGAGGUGGGCAGAUUGCUUGAGCCCAGGAGUUCCAGACCAGCCUGGGCAACAUGGCGAAACCCUGUCUCUACAAAAAUAUACAAAAAAUUAGCCAGCAUG